CAAUAGCGUAUAUUAAAGUUGUUGCAGUUAAAAAGCUCGUAGUUGGAUUUCUGGAUGGAGCGACCGGUCGGGCAUUAAUUUGUCUGCACUGGAGUCGGUUCCGUCCAUCCUCUUGGAAAGUGCGUCGGGCAUUAAGUUGUUUGGCGUAUGAUCCAAGUCGUUUACUGUGAAAAAAUUAGAGUGUUUAAAGCAGGCCUUCGCCUUGAAUACAUUAGCGUGGAAUAAUAAGAUAGGACUUUGGUCUAUUUUGUUGGUUUGCAGACCGAAGUAAUGAUUAAUAGGGAUAGUUGGGGGUAUUUAUAUUCCGAUGUCAGAGGUGAAAUUCUUAGAUUUUCGGAAGAUAAACUUAUGCGAAAGCAUUUACCAAGGAUGUUUUCAUUAA
rnacentral:rRNA from 1 species